GCCGCCAAGCCUCGCGAGACGGGGGCCGUCAAGGGGCUGGGCCAACUGUCGCCGGUGUUUGCGGGGUCGCGGCCGGGCGUCAUCGCGGGCGCCGCUCGGGGGGUCGCGGAGGCCGACUUUCCGGUCGGCUUGCGUAUUUCCCUCAGAGAGCGAAGGCGCGUCAGAUGCCCGGCAAGCGGAGUGGUGACAAUGAGGACCCACAGAAGGUUAAACGGCCUCGCGGGCGGCCGCCCGGGCCCAAAGCCAGGCUGUCGGCUGCGGCGAGGGCGGCGGUGGUGGAGGCCGCCGCGGCUUGGGCAGCGGCCGAGGCCACCCCAGGCGGCGCGGAGGCUAUGGGCAUCCUGCUUCCGGGCCAGACACGCGUCAAGAGGAGGCGGAGGGUCAUGCCUCUGGAGGACAAGAUGAAAAUUCUCGAGAAGCUGGAAGAAGGCGUGAGUAACACCGACGUGGGGCGCCUGUUUGGCGUCCACGAGUCAACCGUGCGCACCAUUAAGAAAAACGAGAAGGCCAUCAGGGCCAGCAUGGAGAGUGUUUCGCCGGUGUGCUCCAAGGUGCUGUGCGUUCCCCGUGAUGUAAACAUCGAGAAGAUGGAGACCGAGUUAACCUUCUGGGUGGAGGACCAGACCAUAGGGGGGCGGCCUCUGACGCUGAAAGCCAUCUGCAGCCAGGCCAAGCGCAUUUACAAGCAGCUGGUCGAAACCACUGGGAACGGCAACCCGGAUAAGUUCCAUGCGAGCAAGGGAUGGUUUGAGAAGUUUAGGAACCGCUACAGUCUGCGAAAUUCGAGGCUGAUGGGGGAGGAAGAACCCCUGAAUGCCCAGUCGGCACCCAAGUAUUCCAAACAAGUCCAGAGACUCAUCAGAGCCAGAGGCUACGUGCCCCAGCAGGUCUUCAACGCCGAGGAGGUGAGCCUGUUUUGGAAGUGCAUGCCUUCACGUACUUUUAGGGAAAAAGACAAAAACCCCGAACGCUUAGAGGAAGCUAAAGACAGGAUAGCCCUCAUUUUUUGUGCCAACGCCGCCGGUGACAAAAUGAUAAAACCCUUGCUGCUUUAUAAAGACCCCAACCCCACUUGUCUUUUGGAAAAAGAUAAAAACCGCCUUCCCGUGUUCUGGCGAUCACACCCUAAAGUAUCAUUAACCGCUGCCCUCUUUUUGGAUUGGUUUCAUAAUUGUUUUAUCCAUCAGGCCCGGAGUUAUUUAAUAGAAAAAAAUCUUGAGUUCAGAGUGUUGCUAAUUCUGGACAGAGGUCCCAAUCACCCAGACUCAUUAUUCUUUGCUCAUCCUAAUGUUGAUAUUGUGUUCCUCCCUCUGGAAGGCGCUAGCUAUCUUCAGCCCUUGGACCAGGGUGUAAUUGAAGCAUUCAGGAGGUAUUACACCAAGCAUAUGUUUGACCACUUUGCUGACUGUAUUGAAAAAAACCCUUGCCUUACUUUGAAAGAAACAUGGCAGCAAUACAACAUUGCUGAUGCUUUGGUAGUGAUAAAAGAGGCAAUGGAUGAUAUAAAACCAGCUGCCCUUAAUAAAGCCUGGUGGAAACUUUGGGAAGAUGUUGUGAAUGAUUAUGCAUGUUUCCCAAGAGCUAAUGAAGAAGUUGCAAAAAUCGUAGAGUCUGCAAAACGGAUGGACUUUAAAUUCCUUGACAUCGAAGAGGGUGAAAUUAAUGAGCUGCUCAAGUUUCAGGCUUUGGCCAUAACUGAGAGAGAGUCUGUAUCAGUAAAUACGGAAGAAGACAAGUCCCCGGAACCAGAGGUAAAGAUGAAUUUAAGGAAAUUGAAUGCUGUCUUACGCCAGGCCUCAGACCUCAUUGAUGCUGCAAUUGAUAUGGAUCCUUUCCUGGACCGAAGUUUGGCCUUUAAAAAAGACUUCAAUAAAUUGUUAUAUACCUAUAAAGAGGUGCAAAAGAACCUUCAAAAUAAAGCAAAGGAGCUGAAGAAAGAAAAAGACACAAGCAAAGAGGAAGUAGUGUGGAUGAAGAAGAUGGAUGCAGAAUCGGAGUCUGAAGGGGAGUCUGAAUCUGAAUCCCAUGAGGAGAAGCAGGUAGAGAGAAGGAAAGAGGACAAGAAGCCUCCAGAAGAAGAUCCUGGACCCUCAAGCAGUGGCACUGAGACUCUCACUCUAUCUGAAGAAUCUGCCAAAGCCAUAAAUGCAGAAUUGGACUUUUGGAAUCUAACCUUGGAAUUGAAUCUGGAGAGAGUAGAUGUGCCUGAGUUAAAGGAAGAAGAGAAUUCAGAGGCAGUGCCUUCCAAAUGACAGUUCAUCUCUUGCCAUUUUUCCCCUGUUGCCCCAACAUCUCCCUUCAUCAUGACCAUCCUUAUCAUCACCAGCCACACAUCCAUGUCAUUUAGUCAUUCAACAAACAGUUAUUGAGCAUAAGCUGUGUGGGGUCCUGUGCUAAAAUUGGGGACAUCAUCUCAGGAAGUCAUCUCGGGAUCUAAGGGCUAGCCUGGAUAAGAAGCUGGCUGCCUCUGUGAACAUCCUGCCCAAGGCAUCCUCACUGUACUUUUGGAAUGGAGAAAUCGAAGAAGCCACU